AAUCUUCCGCAAUGGACGACAGUCUGACGGAGCAACGCCACGUGAGCGAUGAAGGCCUUCGGGUCGUAAAGCUCAGUUGUUAGGGAAGAACAAGUACCAGUUAACUGCUGGUAUCAUGACGGUACCUAACCAGAAAGCCACGGCUAACUACGUGCCAGCAGCCGCGGUAAUACGUAGGUGGCAAGCGUUGUCCGGAUUUAUUGGUCGUAAAGCGCGCGCAGGCGGUUCUUUAAGUCUGAUGUGAAAGCCCCCGGCUCAACCGGGGAGGGUCAUUGGAAACUGGGGAACUUGAGUGCAGAAGAGGAGAGCGGAAUUCCACGUGUAGCGGUGAAAUGCGUAGAGAUAUGGAGGAACACCAGUGGCGAAGGCGACUCUCUGGUCUGCAACUGACGCUGAGGCGCGAAAGCGUGGGGAGCGAACA
rnacentral:rRNA from 1 species